ensembl:misc_RNA Y_RNA Y RNA
GGUUAUUGUCUAUAAAUAAGAAAGUCACUUCCAAGCCAACCAGAAAUAUGUAUCAAAUUGAUCACAACCAGUAACAGAUUUCUUUGUUCUUUCUCCAUUCCCACUGCUUCACUUGACUAGCCUUAA